rnacentral:rRNA from 1 species
CGACCGGCGCACGGGUGAGUAACACGUAUGCAACCUGGCCGUCGCAGGUGGAUAACCGGAAGAAAUUCCGACUAAUACAGCAUAACACUCCUGAGGGACAUCCUUCGGGAGUCAAAGGAGGCAACUCCGGUGACGGAUGGGCAUGCGGCGCAUUAGGUAGUUGGUAGGGUAACGGCCUACCAAGCCGACGAUGCGUAGGGGUUCUGAGAGGAAGGUCCCCCACAUUGGAACUGAGACACGGUCCAAACUCCUACGGGAGGCAGCAG